rnacentral:misc_RNA from 1 species
GACGUAGGAUGCAAGCGUUGUUCGGAUUCAUUGGGCGUAAAGGGUGCGUAGGCGGCGAGGCAAGUCUGGUGUGAAAUCCCGGGGCUCAACCCCGGAACUGCACUGGAUACUGCUUUGCUAGAGUACUGGAGAGGGAACUGGAAUUUACGGUGUAGCAGUGAAAUGCGUAGAUAUCGUAAGGAAGACCAGCGGCGAAGGCGAGUUCCUGGACAGUUACUGACGCUGAGGCACGAAGGCCAGGGGAGCAAACGGG